rnacentral:misc_RNA from 1 species
CAAGAAACGAGGGCCGCGGUGCGCUUCGCCCCGCCCGGGCCCCGCUUCCUUACCUUGCCUACUGCAACCGUUUGUUUGCUUCCUGGCGGCGGACCUGCCCGCCGCCAGGGACGUUGAUACAACCCUGUAUAGAAGCAUUGAAGCUCUGAGAAAACGCGUAAUCGUA